GUUGCUCUUUGCUUCUUGCUGUACAGACUACCACCGGCUGGCUGGUUUGCUCUCACAAGACUGCAGAAGAGUCCUGAGACACUGAACACUGCUACCAGUGAAUGAAAUGAACCAAAAGCCAUCAGAAGAGAAAGUGCAGACAAGGUCUUUGAAAGAGCUCCAGGUCUUGCUAGGAGUUUCUGGAAUCUGAGGUGUACUCCUCUGUCCUUCUCACUACUGAGUGCCAACAGGCAGCACAUGCCCUGGACCGAAGUCUCUGUGGCUAAGCAGGAAACCAUGGAGCCACAGCAGCCUGGGGAGCUCAAGAUGGCAGGGCUGUGAACCUGCUCUAGUUCUCCACAGAGCAGGUGGACGCUCUCCAUGCUGCACAGACACAGCCUCUGAGAUGGGGCUUUGAGCACAUUGGGUUUGAGUACUGGCCUGGACAGUUGGUCCCAUUCAAAAUGCUGCCUCGUCUUUCCUUGAGAUGUAAAUAGACAAACAAUACUUCCUAGUGAAGAUAAAUCUUAAUGUUUAUAAGCAGUGACUCAGUAGUGAAAAAUACUUGCUAUUAAUCUUAAAGAUGGCUGUUCAGGACCUGUUUAAUAGACUGAGUACCAUGUAAAACCUACAACUCCAGCUUUGAGUGAUUGGAUGUCAUCUUCUGCCUUCACAUGAACACAGGUGCA
rnacentral:lncRNA from 1 species